rnacentral:rRNA from 1 species
AACGAACGCUGGCGGCAUGCCUAACACAUGCAAGUCGAACGAGACCUUCGGGUCUAGUGGCGCACGGGUGCGUAACGCGUGGGAACCUGCCCUUAGGUUCGGAAUAACUCCCCGAAAGGGGUGCUAAUACCGGAUAAUGUCUUCGGACCAAAGAUUUAUCGCCUUUGGAUGGGCCCGCGUUGGAUUAGCUAGUUGGUAGGGUAAAAGCCUACCAAGGCGACGAUCCAUAGCUGGUCUGAGAGGAUGAUCAGCCACACUGGGACUGAGACACGGCCCAGACGGCUACGGGAGGGAGGAGUGGGGGAGAAUGUACGAAGAGGGGGAGAAGGAUGGAGCAACAACGCCCGCGGGAUGAAGGAGGUCGGGGGGUUUAAAACGUUCUUUUACCAGGAAGAAUAAGGAAAGGCCGGGGGAAAAAAAGCCCGGCCAACCCGCGC